CUUCUUAUCCUCCAUUCCACAGAUUAGGAAACUGACAUAGAGAAGGCAAAGGCAGUUGCCCAAGGUCACACAGCUCGUAACCGGAGGAGCCAGGCGUUAAACCCAUGCAGUGUGUGUGUCGAUAACCACGCUACGCCACAGCCUAGCUGGCCGAUGCUGAUGGUUAUGGGUAAUUUCCAGAGAGUUAAGUAUAGCUCACUUUCUCUACUAUUCAGAGAGCAACUUCACAUCCAUUCGAAUUGAAUCGUUUUUUAAAAGACAUAAAUCAGUCAAAAAUAUUGACUCUUUCCUUGAUCAGUGAAGAACUCACUGUAUCAUAUAUUACUUUGGUCACGACAGACCAGUGGAGACAGAUUUAUAGAAGCUCAGAGAAGAUGGUUACUUCUGAGGGCGGAUGCAUUCAGUUCCAGUCUUUGCAUCCCUGAUACCCGAGUAAAAUGCAGCUGAGAGGAGUCACCUAGUUGCCCCUCGGCCCUGAGCCAGUGUUUGGUGAUAUGACCCCUCUGCUCCCCAAGCCUCAUGCCAAGUCAGCCACACUCAACACACCAUCAUCACAGGCCCCUGUGGAAAUGCGCAGAUUGCAGCCAUAGGAAGCCAUGCGGCUGUGUAAUUAUUCAGGUGAGUAGCCUAGAGCCUCUUCUCACAUGCAAAUGGUGGAGGAAUGACUCCAAGGAGCUAAAUAUGACUUUCAGGGGAAGUCUCUUGUGGUACAUUGGGUUAAAGAUCUGCUGUUGUCACUGAAGUGGCUCACUGCUGUGGCAUGGGUUCAAUCCCAGGAAUUUCUACAUGCCGUAGGCAUGGCCAAGAAAAAGAGAAGAUGGCUUUCGUAAAGGUAGGAAUAUGGACUGUUUGACUUACCGCCACAUGACCAGAAUACAGAGAAGGUAGUUGAUAAAUAUGUGUUGGGGAAAAAUGAAUAAAUGAACAUACAAUAAUUUGUAUGCA
rnacentral:lncRNA from 1 species